rnacentral:lncRNA from 1 species
CAGUGUAGUUUUUAUGGUCCAUCGUCAGUCGCUAACAUAUGGUUGAUUAGCCGAUUGUGAAUCGGGGGGGAGUAGAUUCGAUUGCCCCAACAAUUGCCCCCACUCCCAAGUCCAAGACGGCUUGACACGUGGCUUGACAUGUUGAAUGAAGUAAGUUGUCAUGUAUUAUCUUAAGCCUCGAUUCACCUGCAGGCAUUAAUGAUUUC